rnacentral:lncRNA from 1 species
UUAGAUCUUUUUAUGGUUUUGGUAUCAGCAUAACUGUGGCUUCAUAGAUGAAUUAUGCAAUUUUCCUCCUGUUUCUAUUUUGUGGAAUAAUUUGAAGAGUAUUGGUAUUAGGGCUUCUUUGAAGGUCUGAUAGAAUUCUGCACUAAACCCAUCUGGUCCUGGGCUUUUGGGGGAUGGCGUGGGGGUGGGAGAUGUUUAAUGACUGCUUUUUUUUUGGAGUUAUAGGACUGUUAAAGUGGUACAUCUGAUCUUUCUUUAACUUUGGUACCUGCUUUAUGUCUAGAAAAUUGUCCAUUUCAUCUAGAUUUUCCAGUGUCAUUGAGUAUAGGCUUUUUUGUAGGAUCUGAUGAUAUUUUAAAUUUCUUUGGUUUCUGUAGUUAUGUCUUCCUUUUCAUUUCUGAUUUUGUUAAUUAUGGCACUGUGUCUGUGGCCUCUGGUUUGUCUGGCAAAGAAUGUAUCUAUCUGGAGGAUUUUCCCAAAGAAACAGCUUCAGGUUUUGUUGAUUCUUGUAUAAUUCUCUUUGUUACUACUUGGUUGAUUUCAGCCCUGAGUUUGAUUAUUUCCUGCCCUCUACUCCUCUUGGGUGUAUUUGCUUCUUUUGGUUCUAGAGCAUUCCAAUAUGCUGUUAGGUUGCUAGUGUAUGUUCUCUCUAAUUUCUUUAUGGAGGCACUCAGAUAUACAUGUUUUCCUUUUAGCACUGCUUUCAUUGUGUCCCAUAAGUUUUUGUUGUGCCUUCCUUCUUGUUAAGUUCUAAAAAGUCUUUAAUUUCUUUCUUUAUUUCUUCCUUGACCAAGUUAUCAUGGAGCAGAGAGGUAUUCAGCUUUCAUGUGUUUGUGGGCUUUCUGUUUUUUUUUUUUUUUUUUUUUUAAUUAAAGACAAGCUUUAGUCAAUAGUGAUCUGAUAGGAAACAUGUUUUAUUUCAAUCUUCUUGUAUCUGGUAAUCCUUGUUUUGUGUCCAAUUAUAUGGUCAAUUUUGGAGAAGGCACCAUACGUUGCUGAAACGAAGGUAUAUUCUUUUGUUUUAGAUUGAAAUGUUCUAUCGAUAUCUGUUAAAUCUACUUGGUUCAUAACUUCUAUUAGUUUCACUGUGCCUCUGUUUCCAUGAUCUGUCCAUUGCUGAGAGUAGGGUGUUGAAGUCUCCCAUUGCUAUUGUGUGAGGUUCAAUAUGUACUUUGAACUUUAAUAACCUUUCUUUUACAAAUGUGGUUGCUUUUGUAACAUAGAUGUUCAGAAUUCAGAGCUCAUAUUGGUAGAUUUUUCCUUUAAUGAGUAUGAAAUGUCCUUCCUUAUUGCUUUUGAUAACUUUUGAUUGAAAGUCAUUUUUUUUGUUUUUUUUUGUUUUUUUUUUUUUUGUUUUUUUUUCAACAAAGCAUACUUUACUCAAAUGUUUGGUACUUUGCUUUUCAACUUUUACACAUUUAGACAUAUAAAUAUUUUAUAUAAGUCUGGAUAUAUACAUUUUACACCAAAGGUUCCUGAAAUGCUAACUAUUUUCAGAAGAUAGAGAUUUUUUGUUGUUGUUGUUUGGUUUUUUGUUGUUGGUUUUUUUUUUUUUUCAUAAAUUUUAAUGGAUUAUUUCAUCAAGAUACCAGCUGGAAGAUCAUUAUAACAUACAUUUUUUAAGCAUGCCUUCUUUUUUUCUUUGAUUUUAUUUUUUAUUUUUUAAAACAUAUAUAAGAAAUAAAUGUAAUAAACCAAAUACAUGG